GCCUGCCGGAAGGAGAAAACGAGGUGCAAAGAGCCAGAAGAGCAUAACUGGGACUCACAAUUCCUCUAAAACAAAGAAUCGGUAGAGAGCCAACACCAUCUUCCCUGGCUCAGAAACAGAGCGGGUUGAGGAAGCCGAGAAAAUGGAGCAAAUAGAACAAACAGUGAGUAACAACGUUGGGGGAACCUCACCCCCCCCUUAAGGAGGAUAGCAAUCACCCGACCCCCCCUUCUCCCAGAAAAAGCUAAUCCAUCCAAGAGGGCAAGAGCAGGAGGAGGAGGGGUUCCUCCCACUCCUAACACUGACCCACCCAGGCCUCUAGAACAAGAUAUUAGAGGAGCCUGCUUUCAACUGAUUCCGGAUACGCUCCCCUACCAAGAGAUUUGCAUGUUGUCUGCAGAAACUAUGGUUCUGGUUCUUCAAAGACUGAAUUAAAUCCUCACCAAAAUAGUUAACAUUGAGAAACAAUUGGAUACUAGUUCCUCCCCUUUAAAUGCCCAAGGGCUUAAAAGGAUGAUAAGAAAUGACUUUGUUAACAACUCACCAACUCAAACUAUGGAUGAAGUGAGGUCCUGUCAAGUCUUACAAACGAACCAGAUAAUGCUUGAGAUUCACCUAUACGCUCAUAGGUGGAUGAACCGCAGACAAAUUACUAUGUCCUUGUCUCAGCUCCUGAAUUACCAUUACCAAAAUGUAGAUCCAGAAAAUUUCCACUUCCUGCCUACCUUGAGAAACACCACGCGCCUAUUUAUGACCUUUAGGUCAUCAGCCCUCCCAUCUCGACUCAUGGAGAUAAAGGAUACUCUAUGGUGGUUCCAUUCUCUCCGCCCAGUGAGGGUAUUUAAGGACAAAACAAGGAGGCAAUUGGUCCCUUGCAUAGAGUCAAAGCUAAUGCGGAUAAGGGAAACCAAGCUCAACACUAGAAACACUAAUUGCCUGAAGGAAGAAAAGAACCCUGUAAGCCUAGAAUUACAAGACCUGAAGAAGAGGCUAAUGAGUAUAAAGACUGAGAUUUCUACCCAAAAUAUAAGGACAAUAGAGCCUAGAGCACAAUAUUUAAAGGUGGCCAACAGCUCUUUAUCCCAUAGAAAGACAUCAGUGCAACUCCCUGUUCCCUUUUCAAACGACACCGAAUUAGAUGAGGAAUUUGGCGCCUCCGACAUUUCUGUGGCAACAACACCUAAAGAACUCUAUGUUGCUGACAAUCUAGAGAUAUCCAGCACCAAAUCUACAUCUGGACCUUUGCCUAAUGUUCCAAAAACUUAUCAGAAUGAUCAACCUUCUCUACUGUACUCCUGGCGAGACAGGAUGGACAGAUCUUCCGUAUUCGAAGCUGGCUCUUUGUUAGCCAGUGAUCCACAUUUUAUAGCACAUACCUCAUUAAUACUCCCACAGCCACAGAUAGAACCAACAAUCCUCCAGUCAACCCAGGAGGGAGCAUGAGACUGUCCUCCCCGCUUGGGGUGCGGUUGGUUGGGUUUUAUCUUCUAGGGAUACUUACCCUAUCAAACCUCCACCUCUUCCCCAUACCAUUUUGACCCAGGAGUCCUGGCCCAAGGAUGAUUUGUUAUUGAGGGGAUGUUACCCCUCUAUUGGGGAGGCUAGUAUGGGGUCUGGGAUUUCCACUAUUGAAGGGCUAGGGAGGAAUGGCAGUGGGGCUAGAAAUCUCUAUCGGCGAAGGGUUUCGAGAUGCAGUGAUCCUCGAACCCCUUCCAAUCUACACUCCAUCCCAAGGGAUGAGGGUAGGGAGAGCAAGGAUUACCCACCUCCGUCAUUAGUGCUGUGCAAUGCCAGGUCCAUAGGCAACAAAACCGCCACCAUGCAUGACUUUUUUGUCUCGCAGGGGAUUGACCUGGCUUGCGUGACGGAGACCUGGGUACGGGAAGGCGAAGUAGUUUCCCUACAUGAGAUAACACCACCAGGUUUCUCUGUCCUCCAUCAAUCGCGGUCUGUGGGUCGGGGGGGGGAGGAGUAGUGUUGUUAAUCCGGAAGGAUUGCUCUUUCAGAGCCCUGCCAUCACAGGCGAUUUCCGGCAUUGAAUGUGUUGGUCUCGUGUGGGGCACCAAGGAGAGCUUGGCUGUCUGGCUGGUGUACCGACCACCCAGCACACCGGCAGCCACCCUGUCAGACCUGCUGGAGGUGGUGGCAGGCUGGGCCUUGGAGUUCCCAAGCCUACUGGGAAGCCUACGUCCAUGCCGAUGCCACUCCCUCCUCACAGGCUCUGGACCUAGUGACUUCCAUGGCAACACUAGGGCUCUCCCAGUUUGUUUUGGGCCCCACUCAUCAAGCAGGCCACAUGCUGGAUCUGAUCUUUGGGGCUGGCAUAGAUGUGAUCAUGCUCCCACCUGUGGAAGUGCCAUGGUCUGAUCACUACGCUCUGAAAGCCAAGAUUGACCUCCCGCUCCUCCCCUGCUCGGUUGGCGAACCUAUUUGGGCUCGUCCACGAAAACUGAUGGAUCCUGAUAGAUUCCGACAAGCCUUGCGAGACCCUGCUCCUCCUGGCGACUCAUUAGAUGACCUUGUUGAGGACUGGAAUAACCAGCUCUUGGCAGCCAUUGAUGAGAUCGCGCCUAAGCGCCCUCUGUGACCCCGUCGAAACCGAGCCCCUUGGUUUACUGAGGAGCUCCGGAAAAUGAAGCGGGAUCUCAGACGGCUAGAGCGAGUAUGGCGACGGACUCGUGACGGAGCCUCAAGAACGUCUUAUAGGACGCUUAUGAAAGCCUACGAGAUGGCUAUGAAAGCUGCUAAGAAAUCUUACUUUGCAGCUUCCAUUGCAUCCGCUAGCUCUCGCCCGGCACAACUUUUUAGAAUAAUUAGAUCAAUAACGUCCUUAGGAGGACAACCAAAUUUAAGUACAAAUUUAACCCACAGCUGUGAGGCAUUCGCGAGCUUUUUUGCGGAGAAAGUCCUGUUGCUCCGCCGUGACCUCCCUGCCAAUUUAGAUACAGUGACUGAACUGGAGGCCCCUCGACUGACUUCAGGUCCAGUGUUGGACCAUUUCGAUCGAAUACUCCCUGCUGAUGUGGAUAGAUUCCUCCAAGUUAGUAGGCCCACCACCUGCCUCCUUGAUCCGUGCCCAUCUUGGCUGAUUAGGGAGUGUCCAGCUGUUGCGCGGACCCCCCUGGUUGAAAUUAUCAAUUUGUCCCUUGACACGGGGACAUUCCCAGGGGAACUGAAGGAAGCAGUGGUAUGUCCACUCUUAAAGAAAACUUCAUUAGAUCCCUUAGACCUAUCCAAUUACCGCCCAGUUUCAAAUCUUCCAUAUUUGGGUAAGGUAAUUGAGAGAGCGGUUGCUGAACAGCUUGGUAGGUUUCUGGAGGAAACAUCGGCUUUAGAUCCAUUUCAGUCCAGUUUCCGUCCUGGUUUUGGGACCGAGACAGCUCUGGUUGCCCUAACAGAUGAUCUCCAUAGAGAGCUGGAUCAAGGCGGGUCAGGACUGGUGAUCCUUUUAGAUUUGUCAGCAGCCUUUGACAUGGUUGAUCAUGAUCUUCUGGACCACCGUCUCGCAGACGUGGGGGUACAAGGCAUAGCCCAUAACUGGCUGUGCUCUUUCAUCUUUGGUCGGGGACAGAGGGUGGCACUAGGGAGGGAAAUGUCGUCGCGCCACUCCUUGGUGUGUGGAGUGCCGCAGGGCGCAAUCCUCUCCCCAAUGCUUUUUAACAUCUUUAUGCGCCCCCUUGCCCAGAUUAUCCGGAGCUUUGGGCUGGGCUGUCACCAAUAUGCUGAUGACACUCAGCUCUAUCUGCUGAUGGAUGGCCACGCCGACUCGGCCCCGAACACACUGACCAGAUGCUUGGAAGCUGUGGCUGGAUGGUUUCGUGGGAGCCGAUUGAAACUAAAUCCUUCGAAGACAGAGGUCCUAUGGCUGGAUUGGGAUGGCAUGGGGAUGAGGGACCAACUCCCUUCUCUUGCGGGGACCCAAUUAGUGCCAUUGCCUUCCGUUAAGAGUUUGGGUGUAAUCCUUGACGCCUCCCUUUCCAAGGAGGCGCAAGUUACAGCAACAGCCAAGGUGACAUUUUUCCACCUUCGUCGCAUCAAGCAGUUGGUCCCUUACCUUUCCCGCCCCGACCUGGCCACAGUGAUCCAUGCGACGGUCAUCUCCAGGCUUGACUACUGUAAUUCGCUCUACGCGGGGCUGCCCUUGAAGCUGUCCCAGAAACUCCAGCGGGUGCAGAAUGCUGCAGCGAGACUCCUCAUGGGGUCUCUGCCAUGGGAGCAUAUUCACCCAGUGCUUUUCAAGCUGCACUGGCUCCCGGUGGAGUACAGGAUCAGAUUUAAGGUGCUGCUUUUGACCUUUAAAGCCCUUCACGGCCUAGGACCCUCAUACCUACGGGACUGCCUCUCCCGGUAUGCCCCACGGAGAGCCUCAAGGUCCAUAAAUAGCAACACCCUUGUGGUCUCGGGCCCUAAGGAAGUUAGAUUGGCUUCAACCAGAGCCAGGGCCUUUUCAACUCUGGCUCCGGUCUGGUGGAACGCUCUGCCUCACGAGGCCAGGGCCCUGCAGGAUCUGAUUUCUUUCCGCAGGGCCUGUACGACAGAGUUGUUCCACCUGGCCUUUGGCUUGGAGCCAAUUUGAUUCCCUCCCUCUCUUUCUUUUUUCUUUUCCUUCUCCUUCUGCGAUGAGGCUACAUUUUAAUAUUUUAAUGUUUCAAUAUUUUAAUGUUGUAUUUUUAAUUUUGUUUUUAAGUUGUAAUCAUUUAACUUGUUUUUAUUAUUGCUUGUAAGCCGCUCUGAGCCCGGCCUUGGCUGGGGAGGGCGGGGUAUAAAUAAAAAUUAUUAUUAUUAUUAUUAUUAUUAUUAUUAUUAUUACAAAGCCUCGUGUGCAGUUCCACUAGUGCAAUGGGACCUUGGUUUCUUCUUCUCUCCCUGUGCAUGCCCUAAUCUGCUCUGGGAUGUUCCCCAGACCCCUGAGCUAAUUUUGAGGGAGCUCGGGAGAAGAGGAAAUUCAAUUGUACACCUAGAAGUAUGUUGCAAUAGUAUGGGAUACCAUCCUCAUUUUAAUCAAAGCACACCCUCUCUCAUCUAGAAAAUGCAAUGUGUUUUGUCAUCAUAGACUUUCCUUAAAAGUCUAGCAAAACGAAUCGUUCUCACUACAACCAUUCUUCUGAAUGCCUAACUAUCUUCAUUCUGUCCACAGUUCUGACUUUUUAUUAUUAACAAUAUGAGUUGACUAUCUCCUGACCUUUCAUAUCCAUUAUUAUUAUCUCUAGGAAAAUAUCUUGAAAGUCUUAGGAAGUGAUUUUAAUGACUUAGAUUUUAGUGGAAGAAUAUGAACAUUAAAUCCAUCGUAUUGUUAAGGGCAGGCUCAGGAAGAAGGUAUGGGAGGAAAACCAUCUUAUCAUUUCAAGAUUAUGUUGGUAGUUUGAUUGAUGAGAUUUGGGCAAAUCAUUCACAGGAGCUGCAGAGAAUAUAGAGAGUCAUUAUGCAAUAAUAAAUUAAUGGAAAGUGCCAAAGAAAAUGAGAGUCAAGCCUGCAAUAAUAUUGCACUUAGUGCCCCCAAGUUCUACUUUUAUCGAUUUUCGGUAAUGAUCAUCUGUUGUAACUCCAUCAGAGCUGUCAGUGGACGGGUCAGAUGUGUUAUCUAUUACAACCUUUUUGUGGCAGAAUGGCAGCAAAUGGAGUCAUCUCUCAGUCACUUUUAAUCAGCAUAUGCUGGAUCAGGUUCUACUCCUGAUAGCAGGCAAGAACAAAAGGGGAAGCAUUGUAGCUCGGUUGUAGAGCAUGUGCUUUGCCUGCGGAAAGUCAUUGGUUCAAUCUCUAGCAUCUCACCCCCAGCCGAAACCCUGGACAGCUGCUGGCAGUCAGUGUAGACAAUACUGAGCUAGGUAGACUAAUGGUCUGACUCGAUGUAAGCCAGAUUCUUACCUUUCAAAAUAAACACAGUUCAUUAAAAAACUAUCCUAUUUUACAAAGGAAACAUUUGCAACUGGUGAAUAUAAAAAGUUUGUACAUGCUUUAUUCUGUCUGUGCUGCUCAGUGUCUUUUGUUGUUCGUUCAGUGUCAGGGACCGUGCUGAGGAGGGCUGCACUGAGGAGUAAUGGUGAGAACCUCCCUCUUCCCCUGCUUCUGAUCCUGAUCCUGAAUCUUCCCAGGAGCAGGACGACAGUAUAGAUUUGGACCAGUGGUUUGCAGAGGGACAUAGUUCAUAAGGCAGAAGCUGGGAAGUGCUGGCUACGAAACAGCUAGGAGAAGAAACACUGGGAGAGAGAGGGUUAACAGAUUCACUGUCUCUGGAAAGCAUUCCUCCGCUCUCUCCAAGGUCAAGAAGAGCUCUGUCAGGUGUGCAUACAGGAGCCAGGCCCUGUGACCAAUAGGACUCUGCAGAACUGGGACCUUCCUAAGUUUGUUCUGAAGAGGCAAGGCGCAGCCACACAGGUGAGGCCGAUUGGUAACUUACAGCACCUGGUGGCAAGAGCCGGGAAGGGAUAUAAGGUCAGCAUUUUCCCUUUGGCUCUUUGCCACAGCAACACGUUCCCUGCCUUGCUGCGUUUGACUUUGUGACUCCUUGCUUCUUGAUCCUCGGACCCCUGACUUUGUGACUCCUUGCUUCUUGAUCCUCGGACCCCUGACUUUGUGACUCCUUGCUUCUUGAUCCUCGGACCCUUGACUUCAUGACUCCUUGCUUCUUGAUCCUCGGACCCCUGAAUUUGUGACUCCUUGCUUCUUGAUCCUCGGACCCCUGAAUUUGUGACUCCUUGCUUCUUGAUCCUUGGACCCCUGACUUCGUGACCCCUUGCUUCUUGAUCCUCGGACCCCUGACUUCAUGACUCCUUGAUCCUUGGACCCCUGACUUUGUGGCUCCUUGCUUCUUGAUCCUUGGACCCCUGACUUUGUGACUACUUGCUUCUUGAUCCUCAGACCCCUGGCUUUGUGACUCCUUGCUUCUUGAUCCUCGGACCCUUGACUUCGUGACUCCUUACUUCCUGACCCUCGGACUCUUGGCUUCUUGACUCCCGGCUCUCUGACCCUCGGAAUCUUGGCUUUCUGACUCCUGGCUUCUGGAUUCCCGUUCCUGCUCCUACCCCACCAUCUUGCCCCCGGUCCCGACGUCCCCAGCCGGGACUCCGAUCGCCUGUGACCCAGACCGUGACAAACUCAGAAAGUAACAGAACAGAUAGCACACAAAACACAGAGAGUACAAGACGCAGAAGUGAUGUAGAUUAAUAGGGACGUACCAACAGGCUUAAAAAUAGCUUCUAUCCGUGGGCUGUUAGGCUGUUGAACAAAAAAUAACAUAGCAAAAUUGACUUGCGAGGUGGUGUGUUGUUUGAUAAGAGAUUGAGUGUUGGGGGGGAGGCUCGUUUAAUUUCAUUGUACACAGGUUGUACAAUGACAAUAAAGGUAUUAUUAUCCUUAAUUGGGAGCACCGCCAAUCUAGGAGAUGGGUUCUUUCUUCUCUCGCUGUGAUUAUAAAAGUUUCUAACUGGUAAGAAGACUUCGUUUCCUUUGUUCUGCUUAUCUACUGCCACAGGGGGAGGAAGCCAAUUCCCUGAAGCCAAUUCCCUGAAGCCUGACAUUCAAGGUCCACAAUGGCGUCAAUGAGCCCUAGAAGUCAGUGGAAGCAAGAGUUGCCAAUCAAGGAAGAUCAGCAUGAGUUUUCAGAGGACCAAAUAAAUCCAAAUCUGGACUGUGUACAAAGUGCACAUCUUCCUAUAUUAAAAUGUGAGUGCUGUGAGAUUUAACAGAGGAGGCAGAGGCCC